CAGAAACCCAAACUGCGGCGGCUCAGCUGCUCUGGGAACUCAUCCGUUCCCUCAGAUCCCAAGACAGAGCUCUUGGCCACUGCGCUGUGGAUCUAGGAGGCCCCUGCUGUUCUGAGGACUGCACAAACCACUCAGGUUUUAUUUAUAACUGACGCUCCAUGAGGGUCCUCUUGCCUUGGAC
rnacentral:lncRNA from 1 species